rnacentral:lncRNA from 1 species
UCCUCUGCCACAAAAGACCUUUAAUGGCUUCCUAUUUAUUAUUCUUUUGUUCAUUUGUUAGAGUUGAAUAAACUAUAAUAAUUUGUCUGACAUAAGAAUGCCACAGGUAUAACAGAUACACCUGGCAGGUGGUCCAGGAAUGAGAGUGUCACAAAAUAAUCACUCAACACAAGGGCCACAGAGCUGCAGAUUCUUCCCAGCCAUCCCUCACUCCUGCCCCAGGACACAAUCCAUGCAGGCCCCCAUUCCAUAGGAAGAGGCAGGUCCCAUAGCGUCUGUGGCUAGACCUUAACACGGAGCAGAGAUGCCCGGGAAGACGGCACUUCCUAUGCUCGUUCCCAAGUGCUCUCCUCAUCUGCCAUGCAGGUCAGGACCACACCCCGAGUUUGUGAGGCACCCACUUCUUAUACCCACCACCUCAUAUGACCACCUAUCAUACCCAACUCUCCUAUGACCCUUGCAAUUGUCCCAGUGAGGUGGGAAGAGCCUGGCACUAGCCUCAUUUUACACACAGGGAAACUAAGGACACACUCGGACCUAAUGUAAUACACCCAUGUCAUGCGCUUGCUGUGCCCUGAGCUUCACAUUUUCACCUAGAAUUCCUUGUGGGGUGGGAGUGGGGGGCAGGGCAGGCAGGACUUUGUACCACGGGCUGAUCCAUGUCUCACUAAAGUGUACAGGAUUCCUGGGGGAAUCCUGCCCUCAAAGGAGGGAUUUUGUCAUAAAAUCCUCCCUGAGUCUGUCUUUUAUGUGAGCCAAGAUUUCCAUCCAUCUGGCUCUGUGUAAAGAUGAAUUUAACCCUAGGCUGUCUCUCCAUCACACUGCUUCUCCUGCUGUCCCUUGGACCUGGGCCAGGAAAGUGGGGUGUCAGGCAGGGGUGCAGACACAAGUCCUAGGUGGGGGAUUGAGCCUCUUUCCUUGCUGCAGAGCUCCCCAUGCCUCAUGGGCCAAUAUCAGGGUCAAGACCCAUCCCCACUGAGCACCAGGUCCCUGUUCAAAUCAAAUCUUGGCCAGAGCUUCAGGGUGGGUUGGCUAGAAAAAACAUCAACUAUGUACGUGUGUGUGUGUGUCAGGUUCCAACACAAAGACACUUUGUACUGGAAUGCUGGAGCCAUUCCAACAUGAGCAGCAAGAAUAGAACCUGUGCUGGCUGGUCUAAGAUCAAACCUGGAGAUGGUGGUUUGAAGUUUUUCUUCAAAGAAAGCUUGAAAAUGAAAUCUCAGUAGGCAAGACAAAUAAAAGCAGAGUUGUUCUGGUGGAGGUGGAAAUGGGAGGAGGGCUGGAAACCUAUCCUUUACCUCCACUCCCAUCUUCCCACCUUAGCAUCCCCUGACAAAGCUCUGUGGAAUACCAGGGGUUCCGCAGCACCUGGUUUGAAAACCACUGUAUCGGCCGGGCGUGGUGGCUCAAGCCUGUAAUCCCAGCACUUUGGGAGGCCGAGACGGACGGAUCACGAGGUCAGGAGAUCGAGACCAUCCUGGCUAACACGGUGAAACCCCGUCUCUACUAAAAAAUACAAAAAAUCUAGCCGGGCGAGGUGGCGGGAGCCUGUAGUCCCAGCUACUCAGGAGGCUGAGACAGGAGAAUGGCCCGAACCCGGGAGGCGGAGCUUGCAGUGAGCUGAGAUCGGGCCACUGCACUCCAGCCUGGGCGACAGAGGGAGACUCCGUCUCAAAAAAAAAAAAAAAAAAACCACUGUAUCAGUGUCUACAAACCAUGGGCCCCACAGACCUGUGCUUUGACUUCCCUUUUGGGGUGACGAGUUGGGAGUGUGAUGGGGGGAGGAUGUUUCCCCUUCAACAGGGCCUCUCUUUGAAGCCGCUGUGCAGUGACCCUCUGGGGAAGUGGUAGAGGCGGGGAUCCUGCAACUUUAGUCCAGAAGGGAUGGCAGAAGUGAUGGAGCUGCCUGGGCCAGGAAGACACACCAGGCCCAAUGCAGGCCGUAAGGCCAUAUAGAUGAGGGUUCAGGAGUCUGUUUUGGUCCUUUUGAGUUUAAAAAAUAUACGUAUCAGAACAGGCAUAGGCCUAUGUCCAUGAGACCCUUUAAGAGUGUAAGACUGGGACCUAAACCCUUCCUCCUGGAUGGAUGGAGAACAACCAGUCCCCAGUGACUGGCAGGAGAGAAGCUGCCGCUCUGGACUGCUGACACCACUGGGGGAAUGCAUCCGCUGUGGCUCAGCUCUCAGGGCAAAAGGCUUAGGUUUUCCCUGGGCCUGAAACCCUCCCAAUGUCACUGAGAAGCCGUGGUAGCUCCAGCUGAUCCCACAAGAGGCCUUACACUUUCAAGGGAAGGAACAGGCAAUUUCUAUUUCUCCUUGCCCUUAGAUUUUCUGCAGAUGGGUGAUUUCAGCUCCCUGAGCCUGGGGGCUGGUGGCUCUCUUUAACCUGGGGUCAGAGCUAAGGCCCCUUGGCCUCUGUGGGGUUCUGACAGAUGGGAGAUGUGACUCCAGACCUACGAGGGUCCGAGAUGUCCGCCUCCACCACUCACUGACAAUAUCCAUGUCUUCCCUCUGUGUCCUGGUUGAUGGGACCACUAUUUUUGGGCAUGAUAUUCCUGAAUCGUGUCUAAAUUUCCUGCUCAGCUAGGUCAUCAAAGCCAAAUUAGCUGUGUCUCAUUCUGGUUGACAUCUACCUAAGUGAGAAGCAGGGCAAGUGAUGAAGACUGGUGGGGAGGGCUUCUCCCGCAGCAAACUUCCUGUGUGACCUUGGGCCAUCCCUGCAGUGGCAGGGCCACACCCAUGCAGCCAUGUUCAACUUAGAGCCCUGACCGCUGACUUUCGUCUCAUCUGGGCCUCAUAACAAUUCCUGCGUCAGGAAGGGAAGGGAUUAUAAUCCCAUUUUACAGUUAGGGAAACUGAGCCCCAGAGGUUGAGUAGCUUGCCCAAGUCCCCCAGGUGAUUGGUGACAGCCAGGACUGAGAGGUGGCAUUGGGGACCUCCAGGACAGAAUUCCUUUUACUGCACCACGUAGGAACCAGCUUGUCAGGAACUCUCCCACAAAACCAGCAGCCAGGUGAACCCACUCUAGCAGGGCUGAGCUUUGACGCUGAGGUGCAGCCAAAUAACUCAGUCCUCAUUUUCGUGGGGACUGAACUCUUCCCCUGGGUGGAAUGCUGAGGAGGGCCAGCUGGCCCUCUGCUCAGUGGGUUUUCACCAGGCCAUGCUCUUCCUUCCUGUCAAGACUGGUGUCCACACGCCAUCCACAGGGUGCACUACAAAGUCCCGGUGAUGGAUGGCUUGGCCAGCGCAGGCCCCAAAUGCUUGGUAUAGAAACCGCCAGUACUGUGGGCUGGUGCCUGGGGCCUAGUGAGGCUCCGCCACCUCUAGUUUCACUUCAAGGUCUCACCUGGACAGACUGACUCCAGAAGGGAAAGGGGCCCUGCAGAGAAGCACUCACUUGGCCAUGUUUGGGGGCUGGGAGGUGGUGCCUGGAGUUGACCAGAAGCUUGGAAACAUGACCUGGUGCUUCCUCUCCAGGAAGAAGCUGAAGGAAACACUUUGGUCUGUGUGUCCCUCGAGGCUGCAGCACAUGGCUGUGUAGCAGGGCAC